GGCUCAUUGGUCUAGUGGUAUGAUUCUUGGUUUGGGUGUAAGAGGCCCCGGGUUCAAAUCCCGGAUGAGCCC
rnacentral:tRNA from 1 species